CCUACGGGAGGCUGCAGUGAGGAAUAUUGGUCAAUGGGCGCGAGCCUGAACCAGCCAAGUAGCGUGAAGGAUGACUGCCCUACGGGGUGUAAACUUCUUUUAUAAAGGCAUAAAGUGAGGCACGUGUGCCUUUUUGUAUGUACUUUAUGAAUAAGGCUCGGCUAACUCCGUGCCAGCAGCCGGGGUAAUACGGAGGAUCCGAGCGUUAUCCGGAUUUAUUGGGUUGAAAGGGAGCGUAGAUGGGUUGUUAAGUCAGUUGUGAAAGUUUGCGGCGCAACCGUAAAAUUGCAAUUGAUACUGGCAGUCUUGAGUACAGUUGAGGUAGGCGGAAUUCGUGGUGUAGCGGUGAAAUGCUUAGAUAUCACGAAGAACUCCGAUUGCGAAGGCAGCUUACUAAACUGCCACUGACAUUGAUGCUCGAAAGUGUGGGUAUCAAACAGGAUUAGAUACCCCUGUAGUC
rnacentral:rRNA from 1 species